rnacentral:lncRNA from 1 species
AGAUGAUUAAAACGUAUCUUUCCUUUAUGUGACGCGUCUCUAGUGCCUUACUGAAGAAGCAGUGACACUCCCGUCGCUCGGUGAGGACGUUCCCGGACAGUGCCUCACUCACCUGGGACUGGUAUCCCCUCCCAGGGUCCACCAAGGGCUCCUGCUUUUCAGACACCCCAUCAUCCUCGCGCGUCCUCACCCUGUCUCUACCAGGGAGGUGCCUAGCUUGGUGAGGUUACUCCUGCUCCUCCAACCUUUUUUUGCCAAGGUUUGUACACGACUCCCAUCUAGGCUGAAAACCUAGAAGUGGACCUUGUGUGUGUGCAUGGUGUCAGCCCAAAGCCAGGCUGAGACAGUCCUCAUAUCCUCUUGAGCCAAACUGUUUGGGUCUCGUUGCUUCAUGGUAUGGUCUGGAUUUGUGGGAAUGGCUUUGCGUGAGAAAGGGGAGGAGA